rnacentral:rRNA from 1 species
UACAGAGGGGGCGAGCGUUAUUCGGAAUUAUUGGGCGUAAAGGGCGCGUAGGCGGCCUGGCAAGUGGAAGGUGAAAUCCCUCGGCUUAACCGAGGAACUGCCCUCCAAACUGCUUGGCUUGAGACCGGGAGAGGUGAGUGGAAUUCCCAGUGUAGCGGUGAAAUGCGUAGAUAUUGGGAGGAACACCAGUGGCGAAGGCGGCUCACUGGACCGGUACUGACGCUGAGGCGCGAAAGCGUGGGGAGCAAACGGG